UCAUUCCCAGGACCUGUCAUGUGUCAUGAUCCUUGCUUAGAAACUAGAGACAGCAGCUAUUGCAGAGGAGAGGUUAAGUUUCUUCUCUGUUGAGUCAAAGAGCAAGCCCUGUAGGAACUCAGUGAAGUCAGUGAGAGUGUUUCCUAUCAGAUUCAAUUUCCUGAGAAUCCAUCUGUUACAUCUCAGAGGAGAACAUAAGAGAAGUAAAAGUGUGUUUACUGUUGGACUCGAAGCCAGACUAUGAAGUGCUGUGUUGCCAUGUUAUGGAGAAGUACAGGUCUGUUACAGUACUGCACC